GGUAACAUGGCCAACCGGUCUGAGGUGCUGGAUUUAGGCUCCGGUCUUUCCCAAGAUGUGGGUUUGAACCCCGUCCUUGCCA
rnacentral:tRNA from 1 species